CUGGUUACCCGAGGCGGACGGUCCAAGAGGAGCAGCAGCACGGAGGAUGAGCGGAUGCAUGAAUCUACUGAGGAGACAUUGCUGGUGUUAAAUGCAAGCAGCAGAGAAUUAGACAGAGCUGGAAGGUUUUCAGAAUUCUCACCAAAGGUAAAUUGUCUCCAAUGUCAGGUUGCAACUCAGCAUUUGCAGAAAUCUAUAUCGAUGUUUCCAGACCGCAGUCAAUCCUGUAUGGCUCCUGAGUAAACUCUCCUGCCCUCUGUAAAGUUAGAGUGGUGUCUUCAUCUCCAUGUCUUUCCUGUGGGUAUUUACAUACAUUCAAGAGCUGCGAACGCAUUGAAUGUGAUUUUACAGAGUCCUGGAGACAGGCAGGAAGGCGCUCACAGAAAUGGAUUCUGGCCUUCUGAUCAAGAGCAUCUUCCAUGGCUAUUAGUCCAGGACAUUGUUCAGACAUCGAGUGUGCUGCGCUCCUGCAUGGGCCAUCUCCACAGGCUGGGCAGGCCCAUGGGCCCUCAGCCUUUAUAGGGAAAGAAGCCACUUUGAAAAUCCUUUCUCUUCUGACAGAAGGCAAGGACGGCAGAAACCCAGCCUCAGCAGCUCCUUCCACCCACGUUGGCUGCUAGUCCUUGGUAGCACUCAUUAAGGAAAGAGAGCCAUCUUCAGACACUUCAGUCAGAGCUGCUGGUUUGUGCUGCAGGCACUCUCAACCAUCCAUACAUUAUUUAUGUGGCAAAAAAAAAAGAUGACUUCCUCCUCACA